rnacentral:tRNA from 1 species
UGGGGAGUCGGCUAAUGGCAAGCCUCGGGCCUUUGAAGCCCGCUAUUCCGGUUCAAAUCCGGACUCCCCAA